GGCGCUAUGGUGCAGCGGUUCAGCACGCCGCCCUCUCACGGCGGAAACACGGGUUCGAUUCCCGUUAGCGCUACCA
rnacentral:tRNA from 1 species